AAAUGAAAAUACAGCCCACGUUGCAGGUGGCCGUCAUCUGGAGUUUCAGAGUUCCCUUUAUCACUCCUUUUGCUUAGUUCGUAUGUGUUUAUAGAGGAAUUAAUUGGGGAAAAAAGCCAGGUCUGUCUUUAAUUAAAGGCAGGCCCAUUAAGUGCGUGACAGAUACCAGGAAGAAAGAAGUGGUCAGAUUGGGCCGUGCUUGGGCACCGAGGACUUGCAAAUGACACUCAGCCUUUGAGACCUCAAAGAAAGCCCAGAGGCGAGACCGUUUGCCCCCGAAGGCCACCUGUGAUGUCUUGGACAGUGAUGGGCACGGUUUGCUCCCUGAGUCUUUGUGUCCCCAUCUGUGAAGUAGGGAGGGAGAAAUGUCACAGAUAAGCCCAUGGUGUCUGGCGGUGUUUGCAAAGCAGGGACCCCAGGCCAGCAGCAUCAGCAUCACCUGGGAGCUUCUUAGAAAGGCACAUUCUGGGGCCGUGCUCCAGACCCCUGAAUCAGACACUGGGGUUUGGCGCCAGCAAUUUGAUGCCCGCUCAGGUGUGAGAGCCACUAUAGGUGUCCUGUGGCUGUUUGCAGCCUUGGCUGCACAUUGGAGUCACCUGGCUUUUUUUUUUUUGAGGAAGAUUAGCCCUGAGCUAACAUCUGCCGCCAAUCCUCCUCUUUUUGCUGAGGAAGACUGGUCCUGACCUAACAUCCGUGCCUAAUUUCCUCUACUUUAUAUGUGGGAUGCCUGCCACAACAUGGCUUGCCAAACAGUGCAUAGGUCUGCACCCGGGACCCGAAUCGGUGAACCCCUGGCCGCCAAAGCAGAACAUGGGAGCUUAAUCGCUGCACCACUGGGCCGGCCCCUCACCUGGCGUUUUAAAGCCUCGAUGUGGGGACCACACCCCAGACCAGUUGCAUCAGGCCACCUAAGUUUGGAACCAGCAUCUGCGGCUUGUUGAAGCUCCCCAGGGAAUAAUCAACACCUUGUAUGAACCACACCCUAGGGAGGGAGCUGGGCAAGCAGGCAUGCGAGAUGCUCAGCUCCUGGGUUUCUGAUCUGACCGUCUCGCUGGGACUGCACUCCAGUGACCUUUAUCCCCUUUGUCAUAACCCAGGUCAGUCCUGAUAUCUGUUUAAAUUAAAAAUGCACAGUCCCCUUGACCCUUAGGAAUCUAUUCUGACACGAACAAAAUUGCCAGCGUGUUAGGAUACGUGUGCAGAGAUAUUUCUUUGUGUGGUGUUUGCCCUGGAAAAAGUCAGAAACAUAACUUUACCCAUAGGGUGAAUAGUAGAAUAAAUUAUGGCACAUUCAGUGUUAUGGAACGCCAUGAACCAUUACAAAGUAUUUGGUAGAUCUGUGUGUAUUGAUCUGGAAAGAGAUGUAGUAUAUAUUGUUGGGUGAAAAAGCAAAUACCUGAUUCAUGCCUGCCACAUAAUUCGUUUUUUUUUCUUUUGAGGAAAAAGAGCCUCCAUAUUGUGUGUGUGUGUUGUGCGUAAAGGGAAGCAAAGCAUGCAAGAAUGCACUCCAGGCUGUUUGAAUUGGUUACUUUGUGGGAUUGGAGAGAGGGAGAAAGUCACUCGUUCAAUUAUUCAUUUAUAUUCUCGUUCAUUCAUUCAUUGGUGCGUUCAUGUUUUCAUUCAAUGAAUAUUUAUUUAAGGUCUGCUGUGCAUCAGGCAUUGUAACCCUGGGGAUGCAGCUGUGAACAGAAUGGACCAAGUUGCUGCUUUCGUGCGUCUAGAGUGACUAACUGUUCCAGUUUGCCCGGGACUGUCCUGGUUUUGGCACUGCGAAUCCAGUGUCCCUGGCCGAUCCUUAGUCCUGGGCAAGCUGGAGGGAUGGUCAGCCUGUGGAGCGUGCAUGUUAGUAUGUGGGGGGGACAGAUAAACAAAUAUAAGAGUGUGGCCGGUGUUUUGGCGGUAAACGAGCCAUGUGGGAGCUCCUCCAAUUCGCUCACGGGGAGAAUAAUCCUCCUGUAAAUUGGGACUGGCUGUCAGUGAUGCGAGGGAGCUCUCUGAUCGCCCCACGGGUCCUCGGCCAGCUCUCCAAAUUGCUGAGUCGGCAGUGGGACCUAAUUUGUUAAUUAAGAGUAGAUGCUGAGCUGUCCUCGUAUUUUGAUUAACCUAAUGACCUUCCCAGCAUGGCUGGGACUCAUGUGUAGACAUCACUGCAACGUUUAAUGAAAUGAUUCGAAGGGCUAUUAGGAGACCCAUCCCGUUAUUAGGCAGCUCGUCUGCACUGGUAACUGCCUAGCAGCUGAGCCUAUCGGAGCCGGGGCCCCAGUGAACGCUUGGUGUUUGGUUAAAGGCGUGAUGCUUAAUCUUUUAGUCACGCUCGAGGGGUUGAUGGCCCUUCUGGCUUUGACCCAAUUUGCUCUGCACUGGAAGAGCAACUGGGAGAAGAGGCGUCACAGGCUCUGAGGCUGGAGCAGGUGCUGCUGGCGUCCUGCUCACGUCCCCUUGGUCCCAGCAUCUUCCAUCUGCAAGCACCUGUGACACUGGAGACUCUGCGUAGAGUUUUCCUUGCUGGCCCGUGCAUGGCCGGGAGUUCUGGGAGGGGAUGUUAUGAACUGAAGUGUCCCCCAAAAGAUGUUGGAGUCCUAACCGCCACACCUGUGAAGGUGACUUUAUUAGGAAAUAGUGUGUUUGCAGACGAUCGAGUUAAGAUGAGAUCAUUAGGGUGGGUUCUCAUCCAGUAUGACUUUAUAGUAUAUCCUUAUAUCCGGUAUGUCCUUAUAAAAAAUGGAAAUUUGGACAGAGACAGACUUCAGGUAGGCUGCCGUGUGAAGUUGAGGGCAGAGAUCAGAGUGGUGUAUCCAUAAACAAGGGAAUGUCAAAGACGGCCAGUAAUCCGGCAGAAGCCGGGAGGGAGGCGUGGGACGGAUUGUGCCCCCCAGCCUCAGAAGGAACCAACCCUGCCAACACUUUGACCUCAGGCUUCCAGCUUCCAGAACUGAGACAAUAAAUGUCUGUCGCUGAAGCCGCCCAGCGUGUGGGG
rnacentral:lncRNA from 1 species